UAAUGUCUGGGAGACUGCCUGAUGGAGGGGGGUAACUACUGGAAACGGUAGCUAAUACCGCAUAAUGUCGCAAGACCAAAGUGGGGGACCUUCGGGCCUCAUGCCAUCGGAUGUGCCCAGAUGGGAUUAGCUAGUAGGUGGGGUAACGGCUCACCUAGGCGACGAUCCCUAGCUGGUCUGAGAGGAUGGCCAGCCACACUGGAACUGAGACACGGUCCAG
rnacentral:rRNA from 1 species